AGCUCUCUAUGCAGUCGCUCCUGCAGGGAACUGUUUAUUCUCAGCACCGUCAGACCAUCGGACUCAACUCCUACACCACGAACCCUUCCCUGGGUGCCCAUCUCUCUCCUCUGCCCAGCGCCCCCGUGCUGGGUGCCAGCUCUCUGCCUGCAGCUGCCCUGUCUGGGGCCGCUGCUGCAAGCAGGGCAGCGUGGGGCUGCCAGGGAGCUGGCCUCGGCACGGCCAGAGCAGAGGCUACCACUGAGAAGGCUGAACGUGCACGAGCCUACGGGGCCAGACGACAUGCAUCCCAGGGUCCCUUCCAACCCAACUCAGGCGAUGGUUGCCUGAAGUUUUACUGCUUUGUUCAAGCUCACAUCUCAUAAGCCAAAGCGUCAGCGAGGCUGAAAGCAGCACCUUCGGUAACAGACAUUAAGCUGGAUGUAAACAGGUGACUCCCAGCUGCAACGUGCAUGAUGAGAUCCAACUUUAAGCACACGUUUGAGUUUUCACAACACUUCCCCUGAGCAACCAAACGAGGCUGAGUGGCCCCAGCUCCCACCAGAGGCAAGCCGCAGUUUGGUUGGUUUGCCAGGUCUCAACUUUUCUAAUCUGGUGCAGACAGGAAUUCAAUACAGCCGCUGCUCUUCUCUCGUAAAUGCACGCUUAAAUGGCACAAUGGAGUACCAUACUGCAGACAGAGCAGGUAAGGCGUACCCGUGGCCCUGUGCAGCAGCACACAGACCGUAGCCCCUUGGAAGCAAGCCAGCUGUGUCAGUCAGGAGAGUGCUGACGCGGCUUGUGCUCCUCCCAGGAAACAGUCAGAGAGGCUACUGUAAGCCAUAACCUGGAGGUCCAAGAGAAGCAUUUAAUCCAACACACCGAGCGCGAGGCCUGGCACCUGGUUUCCUUGGACAACCAAGAAAAACUUGGACAUUACGUUACUGCAACCUCUUCUUUAAUCAGUGAUGAUAAGAGCAUUUCCAAACAUCUCCCCUCAAUAUUGGCCUCCAGAAAGUAAGAAAAAUCGCCUUCUCCGGCGUAAAUCUGAUCACUGCUGUUGCUACAACACUUGGAAGAUGUAUAACGGGAGUGCCAUCCGACACAUACUUGAGACUAAGCAAACCUCCCUGGCUUUUAUUGCCAGCAAGGAACACUACAGCUCUACCAACUUCUCACGCCGCGUUCAGUGACAGUAACUCACAUCAUCGCUGGGAACAGCUUACCUGUGGCAUUCCAACCCGCAGGCACGCAGCCCAGCCCAUCCUGCAGCCAUCCCCUGCCAUCACGGUGGGGCGCUGACUCUGCCCCACCAAGCGGCUCAUUACUGCUCGUAAGGCUC
ensembl:lncRNA